AGUAACGCGUGGAUAACCUGCCUCACACUGGGGGAUAACAGCUAGAAAUGACUGCUAAUACCGCAUAAGCGCACAGUACCGCAUGGUACAGUGUGAAAAACUCCGGUGGUGUGAGAUGGAUCCGCGUCUGAUUAGCCAGUUGGCGGGGUAACGGCCCACCAAAGCGACGAUCAGUAGCCGACCUGAGAGGGUGACCGGCCACAUUGGGACUGAGACACGGCCCAA
rnacentral:rRNA from 1 species